UAGGUCUACGGGAGGCAGCAGUGGGGGAUAUUGGACAAUGGGGGGAACCCUGAUCCAGCGACGCCGCGUGAGUGAAGAAGUAUUUCGGUAUGUAAAGCUCUGUCAGCAGGGAAGAAAGCAAUGACGGUACCUGACCAAGAAGCCCCGGCUAACUACGUGCCAGCAGCCGCGGUAAUACGUAGGGGGCAAGCGUUAUCCGGAUUUACUGGGUGUAAAGGGAGCGUAGACGGCGAAGAAAGUCUGAAGUGAAAGCCCGCGGCUUAACCGCGGAACUGCUUUGGAAACUUUUUUGCUGGAGUACCGGA
rnacentral:rRNA from 1 species